UAAUGAAUCCUUAACACAUACUCCUAAGCAAUUACGAUUAGAAUAAUAAUAUAACACCUAAAUAAGCUAAGGAGGAGUCCGUAAUUAAGGAUUAAAAUCAGUCGGUCCUUGUUGACGUGGAAUCUCCGUUCAAGCCUGACGUCCUCAAAGGCAAGGUAGCUCUCAUCACCGGAGGCGGAUCCGGAAUCGGUUACGAGAUCUCUUCUAAGUUCGGCAAACAUGGAGCUUCCGUCGCCAUCAUGGGACGCAGGAAACAAGUCCUCGACGCCGCCGUCUCUGAUCUCCGAUCCCUCGGGAUUCAGAUGACGUUCAAUUGGGCUUUGCGUGUCUAUUCACGACAUAGGAUCAGUGGAAGGAGGUUUUGUUUUACCCGGUGAUGGUGCUGCCACCUAUAAGGUAGGUUUUAGAAUUGUAGUGUUUCGUCCAUUCGUUGGUGAAGUCAUUGCUGCAAGGUUCAAAGAAUCUGAUUCCAAUGGAUUGCGCUGUGAGUACUACUACUGUUGUGCAUAAUGAUUGCUUAUACGUUUCAAGAACAUCAGCUAUCCACCUGUUCCAACUGAGCGAGGAGAUGAUGCAAAGCCUUUUGCUCCUAUGGUGGUCACUGUAAGUUCUCAUUCUCUGAAGCUAUCUUACUUGUAUUAGCAUAUAAAUAACAAAACUAGUUGUAUAAAGCCUCCUAAUUUCUCCUACUGAAGCUAUUCCACUUGUGAAAUGGGCAGGGGACUUAAUCUCCAAAUGUAAGACUUCAGGUUCUUAAACUAGUAUGUUUUUCUUAACAUAGGAAGUUGGAAUUAGACUCCUUUCCCAUGAUUCUAGGAUUAGAUUCCUUAAUUUUGAUUUUAUCUGUGUAUGGAAAAAUAUUUUUCUUAUAUAUAUGUGCAACUCUUUUGUCCUGCUCU